AGACUCCUACGGGAGGCAGCAGUGGGGAAUUUUGGACAAUGGGGGCAACCCUGAUCCAGCCAUGCCGCGUGAGUGAAGAAGGCCUUCGGGUUGUAAAGCUCUUUCGGCGGGGAAGAAAUGGCAACGGCUAAUAUCCGUUGUUGAUGACGGUACCCGCAUAAGAAGCACCGGCUAAAUAAGUUCCCAGCAGCCGCGGUAAUACGUAGGUGCGAGCGUUAUUCGGAAUUAUUGGGCGUAAAGCGUGCGCAGGCGGUUUCGUAAGACAGACGUGAAAUCCCCGGGCUCAACCUGGGAACUGCGUUUGUGACUGCGAGGCUAGAGUACGGCAGAGGGGGGUAGAAUUCCACGUGUAGCAGUGAAAUGCGUAGAGAUGUGGAGGAAUACCGAUGGCGAAGGCAGCCCCCUGGGUUAGUACUGACGCUCAUGCACGAAAGCGUGGGAGCAAACAGGAUUAGAUACCCUGGUAGUCCACGCCCUAAACGAUGUCAACUAGGUGUUGGAAGGGUUAAACCUUUUAGUACCGCAGCUAACGCGUGAAGUUGACCGCUGGGGAGUACGGCCGCAAGGUUAAAACUCAAAGGAAUUGACGGGGACCCGCACAAGCGGUGGAUGAUGUGGAUUAAUUCGAUGCAACGCGAAAAACCUUACCUACCCUUGACAUGCCAGGAACUUUCCAGAGAUGGAUUGGUGCCCGAAAGGGAGCCUGGACACAGGUGCUGCAUGGCUGUCGUCAGCUCGUGUCGUGAGAUGUUGGGUUAAGUCCCGCAACGAGCGCAACCCUUGUCAUUAAUUGCCAUCAUUCAGUUGGGCACUUUAAUGAGACUGCCGGUGACAAACCGGAGGAAGGUGGGGAUGACGUCAAGUCCUCAUGGCCCUUAUGGGUAGGGCUUCACACGUCAUACAAUGGUCGGUACAGAGGGUUGCCAAGCCGCGAGGUGGAGCCAAUCCCAGAAAGCCGAUCGUAGUCCGGAUCGCAGUCUGCAACUCGACUGCGUGAAGUCGGAAUCGCUAGUAAUCGCGGAUCAGCAUGUCGCGGUGAAUACGUUCCCGGGUCUUGUACACACCGCCCGU
rnacentral:rRNA from 1 species